rnacentral:rRNA from 1 species
GGUUAAGCGACUAAGCGUACACGGUGGAUGCCCUGGCAGUCAGAGGCGAUGAAGGACGUGCUAAUCUGCGAUAAGCGUCGGUAAGGUGAUAUGAACCGUUAUAACCGGCGAUUUCCGAAUGGGGAAACCCAGUGUGAUUCGUCACACUAUCAUUAACUGAAUCCAUAGGUUAAUGAGGCGAACCGGGGGAACUGAAACAUCUAAGUACCCCGAGGAAAAGAAAUCAACCGAGAUUCCCCAGUAGCGGCGAGCGAACGGGGAGGAGCCCAGAGCCUGAAUCAGUGUGUGUGUUAGUGGAAGCGUCUGGAAAGGCGCGCGAUACAGGGUGACAGCCCCGUACACAAAAAUGCACAUGCUGUGAGCUCGAUGAGUAGGGCGGGACACGUGGUAUCCUGUCUGAAUAUGGGGGGACCAUCCUCCAAGGCUAAAUACUCCUGACUGACCGAUAGUGAACCAGUACCGUGAGGGAAAGGCGAAAAGAACCCCGGCGAGGGGAGUGAAAAAGAACCUGAAACCGUGUACGUACAAGCAGUGGGAGCCUCUUUAUGGGGUGACUGCGUACCUUUUGUAUAAUGGGUCAGCGACUUAUAUUCUGUAGCAAGGUUAACCGAAUAGGGGAGCCGAAGGGAAACCGAGUCUUAACUGGGCGUUAAGUUGCAGGGUAUAGACCCGAAACCCGGUGAUCUAGCCAUGGGCAGGUUGAAGGUUGGGUAACACUAACUGGAGGACCGAACCGACUAAUGUUGAAAAAUUAGCGGAUGACUUGUGGCUGGGGGUGAAAGGCCAAUCAAACCGGGAGAUAGCUGGUUCUCCCCGAAAGCUAUUUAGGUAGCGCCUCGUGAAUUCAUCUCCGGGGGUAGAGCACUGUUUCGGCAAGGGGGUCAUCCCGACUUACCAACCCGAUGCAAACUGCGAAUACCGGAGAAUGUUAUCACGGGAGACACACGGCGGGUGCUAACGUCCGUCGUGAAGAGGGAAACAACCCAGACCGCCAGCUAAGGUCCCAAAGUCAUGGUUAAGUGGGAAACGAUGUGGGAAGGCCCAGACAGCCAGGAUGUUGGCUUAGAAGCAGCCAUCAUUUAAAGAAAGCGUAAUAGCUCACUGGUCGAGUCGGCCUGCGCGGAAGAUGUAACGGGGCUAAACCAUGCACCGAAGCUGCGGCAGCGACACUAUGUGUUGUUGGGUAGGGGAGCGUUCUGUAAGCCUGUGAAGGUGUGCUGUGAGGCAUGCUGGAGGUAUCAGAAGUGCGAAUGCUGACAUAAGUAACGAUAAAGCGGGUGAAAAGCCCGCUCGCCGGAAGACCAAGGGUUCCUGUCCAACGUUAAUCGGGGCAGGGUGAGUCGACCCCUAAGGCGAGGCCGAAAGGCGUAGUCGAUGGGAAACAGGUUAAUAUUCCUGUACUUGGUGUUACUGCGAAGGGGGACGGAGAAGGCUAUGUUGGCCGGGCGACGGUUGUCCCGGUUUAAGCGUGUAGGCUGGUUUUCCAGGCAAAUCCGGAAAAUCAAGGCUGAGGCGUGAUGACGAGGCACUACGGUGCUGAAGCAACAAAUGCCCUGCUUCCAGGAAAAGCCUCUAAGCAUCAGGUAACAUCAAAUCGUACCCCAAACCGACACAGGUGGUCAGGUAGAGAAUACCAAGGCGCUUGAGAGAACUCGGGUGAAGGAACUAGGCAAAAUGGUGCCGUAACUUCGGGAGAAGGCACGCUGAUAUGUAGGUGAAGUCCCUCGCGGAUGGAGCUGAAAUCAGUCGAAGAUACCAGCUGGCUGCAACUGUUUAUUAAAAACACAGCACUGUGCAAACACGAAAGUGGACGUAUACGGUGUGACGCCUGCCCGGUGCCGGAAGGUUAAUUGAUGGGGUCAGCGCAAGCGAAGCUCUUGAUCGAAGCCCCGGUAAACGGCGGCCGUAACUAUAACGGUCCUAAGGUAGCGAAAUUCCUUGUCGGGUAAGUUCCGACCUGCACGAAUGGCGUAAUGAUGGCCAGGCUGUCUCCACCCGAGACUCAGUGAAAUUGAACUCGCUGUGAAGAUGCAGUGUACCCGCGGCAAGACGGAAAGACCCCGUGAACCUUUACUAUAGCUUGACACUGAACAUUGAGCCUUGAUGUGUAGGAUAGGUGGGAGGCUUUGAAGUGUGGACGCCAGUCUGCAUGGAGCCGACCUUGAAAUACCACCCUUUAAUGUUUGAUGUUCUAACGUUGACCCGUAAUCCGGGUUGCGGACAGUGUCUGGUGGGUAGUUUGACUGGGGCGGUCUCCUCCUAAAGAGUAACGGAGGAGCACGAAGGUUGGCUAAUCCUGGUCGGACAUCAGGAGGUUAGUGCAAUGGCAUAAGCCAGCUUGACUGCGAGCGUGACGGCGCGAGCAGGUGCGAAAGCAGGUCAUAGUGAUCCGGUGGUUCUGAAUGGAAGGGCCAUCGCUCAACGGAUAAAAGGUACUCCGGGGAUAACAGGCUGAUACCGCCCAAGAGUUCAUAUCGACGGCGGUGUUUGGCACCUCGAUGUCGGCUCAUCACAUCCUGGGGCUGAAGUAGGUCCCAAGGGUAUGGCUGUUCGCCAUUUAAAGUGGUACGCGAGCUGGGUUUAGAACGUCGUGAGACAGUUCGGUCCCUAUCUGCCGUGGGCGCUGGAGAACUGAGGGGGGCUGCUCCUAGUACGAGAGGACCGGAGUGGACGCAUCACUGGUGUUCGGGUUGUCAUGCCAAUGGCACUGCCCGGUAGCUAAAUGCGGAAGAGAUAAGUGCUGAAAGCAUCUAAGCACGAAACUUGCCCCGAGAUGAGUUCUCCCUGACUCCUUGAGAGUCCUGAAGGAACGUUGAAGACGACGACGUUGAUAGGCCGGGUGUGUAAGCGCAGCGAUGCGUUGAGCUAACCGGUACUAAUGAACCGUGAGGCUUAACCUU